UAUCAUCAUUUCACAUGGACUCUCCAGCGGCCUGCAGGAGCACCUUGGAGAGGCUGGUGGGCCAGGUCGGCACUGUACCUGCAGCUGCCACCCACCUUUCCUACAAUG
ensembl:snoRNA